CGGCGGACGGGUGAGUAACACGUGGAUAACCUACCUAUAAGACUGGGAUAACUUCGGGAAACCGGAGCUAAUACCGGAUAACAUGUUGAACCGCAUGGUUCAACAGUGAAAGACGGUCUUGCCGUCACUUAUAGAUGGAUCCGCGCCGCAUUAGCUAGUUGGUAAGGUAACGGCUUACCAAGGCAACGAUGCGUAGCCGACCUGAGAGGGUGAUCGGCCACACUGGAACUGAGACACGGUCCAG
rnacentral:rRNA from 1 species